CGGUAACAUAGGAGCUUGCUCCUGAUGACGAGUGGCGGACGGGUGAGUAACGCGUAGGAAUCUGCCUAGUAGUGGGGGACAACUCCGGGAAACCGGAGCUAAUACCGCAUACGCCCUACGGGGGAAAGCGGGGGAUCUUCGGACCUCGCGCUAUUAGAUGAGCCUGCGUUAGAUUAGCUAGUUGGUGGGGUAAAGGCCUACAAAGGCGACGAUCUAUAGCUGGUCUGAGAGGACGAUCAGCCACACUGGGACUGAGACACGGCCCAGACUCCUACGGGAGGCAGCAGUGGGGAAUAUUGGACAAUGGGCGCAAGCCUGAUCCAGCAAUACCGCGUGUGUGAAGAAGGCCUGAGGGUUGUAAAGCACUUUCAAUUGGGAGGAAAACAGCUGGGUUAAUAGCCCUGCUCUUGACAUUACCUUUAGAAGAAGCACCGGCUAACUCCGUGCCAGCAGCCGCGGUAAUACGGAGGGUGCGAGCGUUAAUCGGAAUUACUGGGCGUAAAGCGUACGUAGGCGGUUUGUUAAGUUAGAUGUGAAAGCCCUGGGCUUAACCUGGGAACUGCAUUUAAAACUGGCAGACUAGAGUUUGAUAGAGGAGAGUGGAAUUUCAGGUGUAGCGGUGAAAUGCGUAGAGAUCUGAAGGAACAUCAGUGGCGAAGGCGGCUCUCUGGAUUAAAACUGACGCUGAGGUACGAAAGCGUGGGUAGCAAACAGGAUUAGAUACCCUGGUAGUCCACGCCGUAAACGAUGUCAACUAGCCGUUGGGUCUAAUUAAAGACUUAGUGGUGCAGCUAACGCAUUAAGUUGACCGCCUGGGGAGUACGGCCGCAAGGUUAAAACUCAAAUGAAUUGACGGGGGCCCGCACAAGC
rnacentral:rRNA from 1 species